rnacentral:rRNA from 1 species
UUACUCUAAACGGAGGCAGCAGUGGGGAAUAUUGCACAAUGGGCGGAAGCCUGAUGCAGCGACGCCGCGUGAGGGAUGACGGCCUUCGGGUUGUAAACCUCUUUCAGUAGGGAAGAAGCGAAAGUGACGGUACCUGCAGAAGAAGCGCCGGCUAACUACGUGCCAGCAGCCGCGGUAAUACGUAGGGCGCAAGCGUUAUCCGGAAUUAUUGGGCGUAAAGAGCUCGUAGGCGGUUUGUCGCGUCUGCCGUGAAAGUCCGGGGCUCAACUCCGGAUCUGCGGUGGGUACGGGCAGACUAGAGUGAUGUAGGGGAGACUGGAAUUCCUGGUGUAGCGGUGAAAUGCGCAGAUAUCAGGAGGAACACCGAUGGCGAAGGCAGGUCUCUGGGCAUUAACUGACGCUGAGGAGCGAAAGCAUGGGGAGCGAACAGGAUUAGAUACCCUGGUAGUCCAUGCCGUAAACGUUGGGCACUAGGUGUGGGGGACAUUCCACGUUUUCCGCGCCGUAGCUAACGCAUUAAGUGCCCCGCCUGGGGAGUACGGCCGCAAGGCUAAAACUCAAAGGAAUUGACGGGGGCCCGCACAAGCGGCGGAGCAUGCGGAUUAAUUCGAUGCAACGCGAAGAACCUUACCAAGGCUUGACAUGAACCGGUAAGACCUGAAACAGUCCCCCACA